AUUGAACGCUGGCGGCAGGCCUAACACAUGCAAGUCGAGCGCGCGGCGGACGGGUGAGUAAUGUAUGGGGAUCUGCCCGAUCGAGGGGGAUAACUACUGGAAACGGUUGCUAAUACCGCACACUAUCGGCUGAAUCCAUAUGGGAUUAGCUAGGUGGUGGGGUAAAGGCUCACCUAGGCGACGAACUCUAGCUGGUCUGAGAGGAUGAUCAGCCACACUGGAACUGAGACACGGCCCAGACUCCUACGGGAGGCAGCAGUGGGGAAGAUUGCACAAUGGGCGCAAGCCUGAUGCAGCCAUGCCGCGUGUAUGAAGAAGGUCUUAGGGUUGUAAAGUACUUUCAGCGGGGAGGCGUUACCCGCAGAAGAAGCACCGGCUAACUCCGUGCCAGCAGCCGCGGUAAUAC
rnacentral:rRNA from 1 species